rnacentral:misc_RNA from 1 species
GAGUUCAUGCCCGAAAGGGUAGACCUCCCACCCUUGUGUAUUAUUACUUUGUUGCUUUGGCGAGCUGCCCUCGGGCCUCGUAUGUUCGCCAGAGAAUAUCAAAACUCUUUUUAUUAAUGUCGUCUGAGUACUAUAUAAUAGUUAAAACUUUCAACAGCGGAUCUCUUGGUUCU